UACGUAGGGGGCUAGCGUUGUCCGGAAUUAUUGGGCGUAAAGAGCUCGUAGGCGGUGUGUCGCGUCGGCCGUGAAAACCUGCAGCUUAACUGUGGGCUUGCGGUCGAUACGGGCAUCACUGGAGUUCGGCAGGGGAGACUGGAAUUCCUGGUGUAGCGGUGAAAUGCGCAGAUAUCAGGAGGAACACCGGUGGCGAAGGCGGGUCUCUGGGCCGAUACUGACGCUGAGGAGCGAAAGCGUGGGGAGCAAACAGG
rnacentral:rRNA from 1 species